AGUACAUUCAAAAUUUUAAUUUUACCCAAGAUACCUGAUUAGUUGCCACAAUUUUCAAAUUUCCCAUGUUCAACAUAUCUAUGAAAUGCUAUUUGUUAAAGCAUACAUUGCUGGUCAUUAAACAUGCAGCUACCCCCUAAAUGCACAAUGUGCUCUUGUUUAUAAGAAAUGCCAUCAGUAAACGAAUAAACAGUGGAUAUACUACACAGAACAUCCACGUUAUUCUACAUAGUUUGAUCCUAAAAUGUUAGCGCUGACUAAGGUCUUGUGAGUUACUGUUGCAGCCUUUGCAUUGUUAACGAAGAAAGCAGUUUCAGAAAAGGGAAAAUGGUGUCCGUGAGAUGAUGCAGCUAUUACAAACCUUCUCAAUUUGUCCUGUACCACCAAGAGCAUAAUCAACAUGUGAGGAGUGUUGUCAGGCUAUGUCUAGGAAAAUCAACAUAAUUGGCAUAUGUGGAUAAAUCUUGACAUGGAAAACCCCAGGGUUUUGUUUUUUUGUUUGUUUGUUUGUUUGUUUGUUUUUUGACAACAAUAUUCACUCGCUGGCUGUUAAAUGUCAGGAAUGACUUCUUUAUUGACUUUUGAAUUCCAGUGCCUUAUCACAGUGCUGGGUGCUUGGUCGGUACUUAAUAUUUCUUGAAUGAGUACAUGUUUUAUACUUUUGUAUCCAAUUAUGACAGCUGAGUGAUUUUGUAAUUUCAUCCAAGUUGAUGCUGUUCUUUAUGCCAGUGCAUUCUCCGUAUGUUCAUGUCUGUUUUUAUUUCUCAUCAUAUCAAAAAUUUUCCCUUUUUGGGGGCUUUGUAGUUCCCCACAUUGUUGUCCGUGCAUUGUUUAUAUAUAUGGCUGUGGUCCAGUUGGGUGCCACUUACCACACUUUUUUAGAAAAGUAAAACCUAAGUUGUUGGUUUUCAAAACCAGCCUUAACUGAAAAUCAUUUUCCCUGCCAGAUGUUGUAAAUUUACAUUGCGUAGUGCUAUUUAUGUCUUAAUAACACAUUUAAAAAAAUUUUCUGGAAAACUUGGAUUUCAGUGAGAGGAUUUCUAAAACUAACUGCACUAUAUGCUUCAUUAUGAUAUUGAGGACUCUGGGACAAAGUUUUCUUUCCAUUUAUAUACUCAGGUUCAGUUGAAUUAUUUUGUUAGGUAUUUGGGAAGUGGCCUGGAAUAACUCAAAGGUUUUCAUUUUAUAUAUACAUAAAAUAUAUACACUAUACAUACAUAUAUUUGUGUGGUAAACAUAUGGAAAGGAAUUUGUGGGGAUAAUUGUAGAAUGAUUCUUCCUUAGUGAUUAGGACUGAAUGGUAACUCAUAUACGAUACACAUCUAAGUAAUAUUAUGUGACAUCAUAAUAUUUCUUAUUCUCUAUUCUAGGUAAUGUUUACUUGUACAGUUCAAGUAAAUGAAAUAAGCUUACAAAUCAGCAUUUUAUUCAUUGGAUCUUUUUUAAUUCCUUCACUAGGUUUGGCAGUAUUUUAUUAGAAACCCUUGAAGGAUCUCCUUGACGCCGGCCUGUCCUCUUUUGAUGUCUACAAUUUGCAGGAAAGCUCUGAAUACAUGUUUAACCAUGUUGACAGAUGGCAUAAAUACCAGAUCAAAAAAGUUUGUUUUUUUUUUCUAAUAGUCUCAAACCAAGACAUUUGCUGCAAUAUAUAUGCUAAGUCGUCAUUUUAAAGAAAGAAUUAGUUGUGAUCAGCAUAGCAUUAAUGGAAAGAAAGAGAACCCAGGCUUAGGAGUAGAAAGGCCAACUAUUGUUCAGUGUAAGGAAGUUCUUUCUAACAAUUUGAAUGAAAACAGAGCUAAUGGGUCAUGAGAUAUUAGUCUAGACCUAUCUGACACUAUUCUUAGACAAUCAUGGAAUUAAUAUUUUAUAUACAAUAAUUCUAACAAAGGAAUGCCCCACUACUUUGAGAAGUACUUGCAUAUGCGGUAUUUGUUUCCAUUGGGGGGGGAUACAUUAAUGGUGAAAUAUUUAUAUUAGUUAUAUCGCUGGUUAAUUAGAAAAUAUGUGUUAAGCACCAAGAAUGUUGAAGUGUUUGAUGGCUGUGGAACUAAGGAUUUUUCAGAAGAAACCAAGUUCAGGUGCAGAGGCCCUUAACUUCUUUUCUUUCCUUUUUUUUUUUCCCCCUCAGAAGGAACUUGACCAGGGAUUAUAUCAUAUUAUUGGAUUAAAGCAUGUGGAACCAGGCAUAUUUGAAGAGCAGGCUAGAAAAGGGAAUGAUGAUGCCAACUGAGACAGAAGGUUUUUAUCCUCUUUUGAAAAUCAGAUAAAGAUAUUGAAUUAAAUCAUCUGUAUAUACACACAGACUUUCACACCUAAUUUUAGGGAAGGAAGAACUCCUUCCUAAAUAACUCCAAAUUAAUUAGGAGAAGAAACAGGUUUGCAAAAAGAAAAAAUAAUCAGUUCAGUAAAAUAAAUAAUAUUGGUAUUCAGGCUCCAGGUACAUUCACUAACAUACCAUAAAUGUGUGGCUCAAAUAAAGAAGUUUGUGAUUUUUGUUGCUUUUACGUAGCUUUGCAGGAAUGUGAGCAGAGAAAGUUCUAGAGAGCAUAUUAGGAAAUUAGAGAUUGGUAAUUAGGGAGAUUUGGAGAUUAGUAAUAGGAGAUCUGGGAUUAGUAAUUAGGUUAUGUCAGAACAUUGGGUGGGGGAAAGAACUGGGAGAUGUUUGGACAGGUAGAUUUAGUUUUAGCUGUAUUUGAACCAGUGAGCAUUGAGUUUGGGUUGGAUAGAAGAGAUAAAGUGAGAAAGCCUUUAAGCCAGUUUCUCUGAAAAUGAGAAUGUAUGUGGAUUUCUGACCAGAAUUUCCUAAUAUCUGAUAGCUUUUGCCAAUCCAUGAAACACAAGUAUUUUUAUAAGUAUGUAUAUGUAUAUCAUCUGUAUGUGUGUGUGUGUGUGUGUGAUGAAAAUAUAAAUAGCCCUCAAGAAUAUUCCAGGAGUUGUCAGAGGUCCCUGUCCUUUCAAAAGCUCCAGUUUCCCUCCUUACCUAAACAUGUCGAUUCAGUGUGAGUCCUGAAUUAUUCAUAGAAACAUAAGGCCUGUAUUUGUCUGUAUACAUUUGUCUCUGACUUUUUAUUUUUGUCGUUUCGACCCCAUUCCCUGGCCCUGCUUUGUUUUUCUUUUUCAGCUUUUUUUUUUUUUCCCUGUUGCUUUGGAAAAGAAACAUUAGACUAAGCUAUUUUAUUGCUUUCCUCUCUCCUUUAACAUACAACAUUUGCCUAACCUCUCAGAGUGUUGUGAUUUCCUGGCCCUGGAGUUCUGACGCCAGAGAUAAUGAGAGAGUUGAUCUGGUGCACCGAGGCCAGGCGGCGAAGAACAAACACUGUGCUGUGCUGGCACUGACAAGGUGACAGAGGGCUCACACUUGCCUCACAUGCGGCAGCUCCCAGUUCUACAACCCAGUUUUCUUGUGCUCUAGGGCUUUGUUGCUUACUGUUUGGGGGUCUGGGCAUAAUUGUAGUAGAUUCUAAAAAUCAUAGCACACAGUGAUGGACAAGUGUCUAUAAUUGUGUUUGAACAGGAAAGUAAAGACUCAGAUGGUUCAAUUCCUUGUUGAUCCCUGCUGUCAUUCAGUGCCCUAAUGACUAUUCAUCUUGCUUUGUGCAGCAAUCUGUAAGCAGACAGUGUAAGAACGUGUGCCCCAGGUGAAUGUGUGUGUGUGCAUGUGUGUUCAGGAAGGUCUCCCUCUCUUCUUGUCAAGACUGCGGCUGUCAACUACUUCUCCAAGGUGUUGCUGAGAAUCAGCACUAAGGGCUGUAAGCUGCCUGCCACUUAGAUGUGGCACCUUACAUGUGUGCUGCCUUCGCAAACCGACUUGCCUGUGUGCACAGUGCUAGCUUAUCUGUGAGAGGACAGGGCUAUUAUGAAAUGCAACUUCUCUUUGAGAUGCAUUACUCCAAAA
rnacentral:lncRNA from 1 species